rnacentral:lncRNA from 1 species
CUGACAUGGAGGUGUGUUGUCUCACAUGUUCAUCUAGCCAAGUUCUCCCAAAGUACCAGGACACAAUCAGUUGUCUCCCAGCCUCCCUCCUAGUCUAGGGAAACCUUGCUACUAAACUCCUGUGCGAGUCUGUGUAAGAAGGCUUUGAACUUGGAUGGGGCAGAGUCAGAAUGUUCUUCCCACAGGACGGCCUUCCAGGAAGAAUUAUAUGAACUACAAAUGAAGGCAUUGAAAGCAAGGGCAUACAGGAAAUAUGAUGGUGUGAAAAAGUCCAGCAUGAACUCAGACAGGACACAGACCAGGACCAGAGCCUCAUGUAGACAGAGCUGCUGCAGAAGGAGCAAUGAGCAUGCCUGCACCCUUGAGAGACCUGAGGAGGAUGAAGGAAAAUACGGACAACUUGAAUCCAUGACAGUCUUCAGUCUAGGAUCAAGGCCUCCUCACAAAAGCCAUCUCCUUGUAGAUGAGAACUCAACGGGCAGCCACUUGACCGUCAACAACAACAACAACAACAACAACAACAAUAAUAAAGACUGUGGAUGUUGCUGCUGAUCUUGUGCACUGUGGAUUCAGAUGCUGAGUUCUGUACCCCAAGAUCAAGUUGCAGUCUGGACAU